UUUCGUUGCAAUUUCGUUGUCUUUUUUAUUCUCAAUGUGCAGCUACGCAAUGUGUUGAAGUGUAAUAAUGUUGAAAAGUAGCAGCACUGAACUAUUCCGGCAGUUAGUACAAAUCAUCAUUUUUAAUUGCUUUGAUCUAAUAACAUCGAAAACUAUGAGCGAAACACAUUUGAAGGUUCUUUGCUUGUCUAAAAACGAACACUACUACUUUUAGUACCCCUUCAGAUCAAAGGGCAGGGACCAUUGGUGAUUAAUAACUGCAUACCUUAAUUAGAAUUGUUGACACCUAACUAAGUUGCUUAGUUGAGCUUUGGAGUUCAUUUUAGUUUGAGAUGAAAGAAAACUAAUUAUUUUAAGUCUUUGUUUAUUUAGUUGAUACCACAAAGUAAUACAUCCAUUUUAUUGUGCUGGAGUAUAGAGAGAAGGGGAUUAUUGUGUUCGGUCUGGUCUAUGAAGAGAGAUGGGGGUUAUUGUCAUUCACUUCAGUUAGGUUCAGUUAGGAAUACCUAAAGAUUUUAGUGCUAAUAAUGUUAUUCCAGUACAUAACUAAUUUGGCAGUGACCAAAUUUGUGGUCAUACACUCUGCAUUCUCAACAUCAAGGUACUCUAAUUCUAGGACAACUAAUUUGUGGCCAUACACUAAGGUUCUAGAGUAUAACAUCAGUGUAGUUUCUCUACAUACGCAGGCAAGCUCCAAUUUUAGGAGGACUAAUUUGAACUUUGAAUGAGUUUAACAAAACAAGCUAGCAUGAGUAUAACUUGUUGAGAAAAAUACUCGUACUAGUAAACUUUCAAGUUUACAUGGCUGGUUAGCAUUCUUUCUUAAACAUGGAUGCCUAGCUAUGUUCUAAAGAGUAUAAGGCCAUGCUUGGAAUGGAUGUAUCUUGAUAUGGAGGUGUAUAACUUACACGUGUAACUUACUAGCCACUGUGCAAAUUCCAGCCGGAAAUGAAACGACGUGCUCAGGCGUGUAUUUUUUUACAAGGAUAUUUAAAAGAGAAUAGAUGAUCCAAACAGGGCCUAAAAUGCAUUGCUAUUGGGAGUAGUUUCGGUCAAAUGCUACUCUGGUAUUGCUUAGGAGUAUUUGUAGGGUUCUAGAGCGACCAGUAGAUGGCCUAUUUCUUUCUAUUGAUAUGGACAAUAUCUUAUCUAGCCAAAGUUUCCCUCCUUACAAAAUCUCCUUGUAACUCAGACGACUAGAAAUAUGAAUUUGUUUAAAUAGUGUUGUUCACUGGAUAGAUUCUGUUUAGCACAAGUUGUGAUGGAUAUGGAUUUGCUACUAAUGAUUCACUAUUUCUAGGGUUCUAGAGUGCUAUGUGUUCUGCCUAUAUGGUGGAGUAGUUGUAUCUUAUCUAGCCAAAUUUUGGGUGCUCCACAUAAGCCGUGUUAGCAAUUGACCAAAAGUAAAGCCCUUGUGACUAUAUUUUUCACACAAAGCAAGUACCUAGAGUUCCAUCUUCCAUGCACUAGCCUAACUCAAUGCAGGGAAGGACAGUGGUGCCUCAUAAUGUCACUCCAUUGCCCAUGGGGGAUUUUCAUUGCCCCAGUGCAUGUAGAUGCAGGGGCAGGAGGGAAAGAUACAAAAGCUCUUUUUAACUAGCUGUAAGGCAGUGUGCAAUGCAAGACCUGCAUUAGUUAGUGGAUGAGGGCGCAAGACCAGCUUCAGGGUUUAUGGCUUAAGCCAAGAGGAGAAAGAAAGGGCUCUGCAUAUGAAAAGAUACCAACAUUAUUGUUUCCAUGAAAUUGGUUGGAAGAAAAGAAGAAGAUCCAGAGAAGAUCUUAGUAAUAAGAUUGGUUUUAGGAAAAUAGAUAUUUAGUUUUAGGUCAUUUCUUCUAAUUUCAGAUAUGGAGUGCUUGUCUUUAGUUUUUGUUUUGACUUUGUGAAACUUGCUAACUAUGGAUGAAACUGUGUAAUAUGAUGAAACUAUGUAUAUGUAUGGAUGAAACUUGCUACUA